GAAAUGCACGAAAACACACAGGCCCGCCCUCAACACCCGCACACGCACACACACACACACACACACACACACACGCACACACGCACACACCAGACACGCGAUCGAAUGCACGGACAGACGGCUGAGGAAUCCACCUUGUUGUCCAGCUCCGCCCCCCCCACACCCCACUGUAGGAUAAUCAUUUGAAUUGGGCUGAACGUGGAGAGGGAAGCUUUCUCCUGGACGGGUGUCAUGUUUCAGUGAUCGGCGGGAAGGCGAGCGGUCCUGCCAACGCGUUCAAACGCCAUUCAAGGGUGGACAGCGCGGCAGACGGACUGAUCAACAGCCUCCAUCAGCACCACCCUCCUCACUCUCUCUCUCUCUCUCUCUCUCUCUCUCUCUCUCUCUCUCUCUCUCUCUCUCUCUCUCUCUCUCUCUCUCUCUCUCUCUCUCUCUCUCUCUCUCUCUCUCUCUCUCUCUCUGAGACUGAGCUGUGGUCCACGCAUCGCGUCCGCGUUCUUCUCGGCAUGUAAGGUUUCACGAGGAGUGAUUUGGGCUGCUCUGACGUCUGCAUCAGAUAUACCAGCGGCGGGGCUCCACCGUGCAUCUCCCCUCAGCGGCUGUGAUCUACAUCAUCAUCAGCGGCACACGGCGACACUCAACAAGGGGAAGGAAGAUUUCUUUUUUUCUUUUUAAAAAGAUCCACCCCCACCUCUUCUGCAUCCUUCCUCCUCUCUCCGGUUCUUUCUUUCAUCCUCCAGCGACGUCCAGCCGAUCCAGACGUGUCUCCCGGUGAGAGAGUAGAGCCGUCCCCCCGUGGAUCCUCCCGUCGGUCCUCAGCGGAACCAUGUACCCUCCGCGCGCCUGGACCCGGGUCCACCACCGGAUCUGAGCGCGAGAAGCCGUUUGGGGCUUCGCUGCUCGUUUUCGAUUCCCGCCAGACUCUCAUCACCAUUCCGAGGGACAUUCCUACUUGUCAACACUUUUUUUUUUCCACGGGGAAGUGUUGCGUGCAGGUUGGUCGGAGCAAGAUGUCCGAUCUUCUGGUGCUGGUCGAGGGUCUGUGUGACCUGUUCGGGUUCCCAUAGCUCAGCAGGGGGCAGCUCAACGCUCACCGCUCACCGCUCCACUCCGCUCCUCUCCUCUCUAAUGAAGUCAUUGCAUGCGUAGAUGUAGGGCUGCUGGUUCCAUUCUUUAGAAAGGCGAUUCGUUUGGAUUGCCCGUUUUUUUUUUUUACUUUACACAUUUUUUGGGGGCGGCGGAGGACCACUUGGAUUAUUGACACUAUAUGAUUUGUGGAAAUGUUGGGUCGUCAAGGAGACAAAUUAUGUGGAAUUUUCUCUGCUUUGGCGGCUUUGUGCUUCGUUUGCUUCGUUCCAAGGCGAUUUUCGACCUCGAAUAUUGACGCCUUCAUCACAAAUCCAACGCAGACAAUCUGUUGACUGCAAGUGUCACCGUGGC
ensembl:lncRNA